AUAAUUUUGAAUAACAUCACUCGUAUAUACUCGGUAAUAUGGUCCGAGCGUUUCUACCUAGUUCCCAAUGAAAGAACUGGACUACGGGUUAAAGUAUUCGGCCG
rnacentral:ncRNA from 1 species